rnacentral:lncRNA from 1 species
CCCUUUCAUCCCACCAGGUCUCGCGAUAUCACGACUUCUCGCCCGUCCCGGCUAACCCCAGAGAGCAGCCCCCGCGGGACUCCUGGUGGUGACUUUCCCUGGUGGUGACUUUCUUGGCUAGUGUUUGGGACGAGAGCUCUUCAUCUGGCACGUUUUCUAGCAGCAUGGACCGGGCUGUUAAGGCGCACUUAAGUCCAUCAGGCCCGAGGUUCGGAUCAGGAGCGGAGGGGUGGGGAUCCGCCUUCAACCUGACCCUGGUCCGGUUCUGUCGUAUAUGGGUGAUAAGGACUCAAAAAUAUUAAUGACUGCCGGACACUGGGCUCUAUACACGUCAUGUCUUUUAAUUCCCACAAUAACCCCAAGAGGAAGGCGUGGUUUUUACCCUGGUUGUACAGAUGGGGAAACAAGCUCAACAAUGGAGGAAUCUGCUGAAAGUGGGAAAGGAUGUGACCAGUCUGAAUUGGGAAUCCAAGAAGAAGCCCAGUGGGGUUGCCUCCCAGGUGGUCAGGGCUACUCCCCAAUGCCACCCACCUCAACAUCAUGGCUAGCCUGUCUACAUGCUCACUGGCCCGUGGAUUCCUGUGCCCAUAGACUCCUGGCACACCUCUCCCUUUCUGAGAUCCUGCCAGCAUAUAUCAGCUCACCAGGACUUGACUGGAACACGUCCUUCCCCCCACAACGUGGCGUCCAGCCCCUGCCCCACCCCACCACUCACUCCUCUCUGGAGGCAGCAGGCUCUGCAGUAUUCCUGCUCCUACCUCAUUAUCCCAGCCCUGAUCCUGUAUCUCUCCAGUCUCUCCUCCCCCUGGCUCUGUGCUCCUUAAGCCUGGAAGGCACCGGAGGGUGA